UUAUAUGGAUAAGCAAAAACAGUGGUUUUUUUGAGAUGGAAUCUACUCCUAGUGAAGAUACUGUAAA
rnacentral:pre_miRNA from 1 species